rnacentral:lncRNA from 1 species
UAACGAAUGUCCUUGAAAGAAUUCACUGCAGUUUGUUUUAAGUAAAACUAAAAUAUAAAUUAAAAUGAAUGUGUUGUACUCCCCCUGUUCUUCUGCCUUUUUCUUUCUUUUUUUUUUUUUUUUUGUCUUUAUAUUAGGAGAAAGGGAGAUGUGGAAUGUCGGGAAUUGUUUAUAAAAUUAGCACACACUGCUCCCAUGAACGUGGAAAAUAUCUGACCCACAGUUGCCCCAGUUUGUUAAACAUUGUGGAUACUCUAUGGAUGGCUGUUCUUCCACAGCCUCCUGGCUGCUGGAGACAAAACCCUGGGUAAGCAAAGUUGGAUGGUUUUCAAAACUGUCAUCCUUAGUAGAUUUACAGACACAAAGAGCUGUCACUAAAUUUAGUCAGUGACCCUGAACUUGGAAUAACUGGAACUGGUACUCUCAGCCAGGGCUGUCCUAAAGUCUAAGGAGCAAUUAGGGGCCAAUAACAAGAUUGGAUUCUGACAUGCUGGGUGAGAGAGCCACUUACAAGACAGAUGGAGGACAAAGCCACUUAGAAGGUACUCGGAGGACAACCCUACCAAGUGAGAGAGCAGAGCCAAGCCCCAGGAAACAGACUGGACCCAUAGAGGAAACCCUGCAGGCUUCCCUGCGCCCAGGCGUGGAAAUCUCAAUAUCCCGCCAGAUCUGGCUUCGCUCCAGGAAGAGUGGUGAGGGCUGCAGAGCCUGGGGCCCCAGUCUGCGGUUCUCUGGGUCUUCUCUGUCACUCAGCCCACCCUCUCCCUGUCGCCUCGCCUGGACCCACUUACACCCGAAGGCACAAAGUGCGCUGUGUGGGCUCCAACUGCACUCUCUUGGAAAAAAUACGUGCCUAUCUACGAACCUCCCUUUGAAUACACCUGGACCAGGUAAUAUGUCAAACUGUUUCCUUCUUGGAAGUUUUGAAGAAACCUCACGUUAGUUCUCUCUUUCUGCAGUUAGUUGUUGCUUAAUAAUUGUUUUAUAACAUAUGAGAUUUGAUGUGUCCAUAUAUUCGUAAAGCCUUUUCUCAGGCCAGAUCCACUUGUCCGACGUAUUUAGAUAUUCUUUCAAGAAUACUUUAUUGCUUCUUGGAUACGAUUUACUGCACUCUAAAGAAAGAAUAAUAGGUGUUAAUCGGCCUCUUGCUUUUGUGUUCAGUUUGAAUAUGUCAGAUUUUAAGCAGAUGAACCUUUGAUAAAUUCAACCUCCCUCCCUCCGCCCCCCAUAUGUUUAGAUGAAGUAGCAAGCUUGGGAUCAGUUUCCUCUGAGUGGUUGUGCCUUUCCUGUUUGUCGUGUUCACCUGGAAAUUGAGCCUUUAUCUGG